AUGGUCUUAGCUUGCUAAGGCCGAUGGCGACCGGCGCACGGGUGAGUAACACGUAUCCCCCCUUCCGUCUACUCUUGGACAGCCUUCUGAAAGGAAGAUUACUACAAGAUGGCAUCAUGAGUUCACAUGUUCACAUGAUUAAAGGUAUUCCGGUAGACGAUGGGGAUGCGUUCCAUUAGAUAGUAGGCGGGGUAACGGCCCACCUAGUCUUCGAUGGAUAGGGGUUCUGAGAGGAAGGUCCCCCACAUUGGAACUGAGACACGGUCCAAACUCCUACGGGAGGCAGCAGUGAGGAAUAUUGGUCAAUGGGCGCAGGCCUGAACCAGCCAAGUAGCGUGAAGGAUGACUGCCCUAUGGGUUGUAAACUUCUUUUAUAAAGGAAUAAAGUCGGGUAUGUAUACCCGUUUGCAUGUACUUUAUGAAUAAGGAUCGGCUAACUCCGUGCCAGCAGCCGCGGUAAUACGGAGGAUUCGAGCGUUAUCCGGAUUUAUUGGGUUUAAAGGGAGCGUAGAUGGAUGUUUAAGUCAGUUGUGAAAGUUUGCGGCUCAACCGUAAAAUUGCAGUUGAUACUGGAUAUCUUGAGUGCAGUUGAGGCAGGCGGAAUUCGUGGUGUAGCGGUGAAAUGCUUAGAUAUCACGAAGGACUCCGAUUG
rnacentral:rRNA from 1 species